CCUCGCCCGCGCUUUGCAUCAUUUCCCCCGUUCCAGCAGCCUUUGUCGCUUUUAAAUUGCCGCUCUGCCUUCUAGUCACAGGUAUGUAGCCGUCUUGGUCUGCCGUAGUCGAAACAAAACGGAGAAAUUCCUUCGAGUAGCACCUUAGAGAUCCGCUCAGUUUGUUGUUGGUAUGAGCUUUCGUGUGCUUGCAGACCUCUUCGGAUACCCGGGAGCUUCACGAGCCUCGAGACCUGGCAGAGUUGGGAAGACUAGAAGGAGCCUCGACAGGAGGACGGAUCCCGGAAUCGGUUUCCACAAUCUGUCUGCAGAAUGCUGCUCGGAAACGUUUGCUUGCUGAGUAACCUGCCUGGAACUGUUUUGAAAUGAACAAGAGAAUUCGUCAAGUUGAACAUGAAGGAUUUGAGAGCUUCGCCAGCAGAGUCUGGACCAAAAAUGGUUGAAGUUCCUGUGAAAGAGACUUUAUUCCUGUGUCUUUUAGAUGGGGGGGGGGCGGGGUUCCAACUUCAGGAGCCUUGACUGACAGUAUUCUGCCUAAAAUUCAUGGUUAAACAGUCACGUGAUAAUUACACUGAUAAUUACAAGUUUUCUGCCUUGCCACUAAUGUCUGUUUAACAUUAUUUGUUGUGGAAUUAUGGGGGGAAUCGCCACUUUUAUGGUGGCAGCACUACAGUACACCAAAAAAACUUCUUUAUUUCACUGGAACCUGCUAUACAGGAUUCAGCACACAAGCCCAGCUGAAAUGCACCAAUGUGCAGCUAACUUGGGUUAGCUGUUUCAGUAGUUAAUGUGAACUCCUGCAUAAGGACAAAUUUUUCCUUCAGGUGAAAUUAACUUUCACAACUUUCCUGAAUCUUGAAUAUUUUAUCAUUACCCUUCUAAGGUUUUAUAUACUCUGUUUUUAAAUCCUAACAUAAGGCAUAAAUCCUGGGAUUGAAAAUGUUUACAAAUGAGAACCUCCUACUUGUGUUACUAUAAAGCACUAGGAAUAAAGGAAUAUUUUAAAAUGUAAGGAUGUAGAAUAGUGACAGUGUCUUAAGGGGAUCUGUAAAUAAGUUUUACGCUUUUUAAAGGAGGAGGAAUCUAAUGUUGGGCAACUUGCUGCUGCUUUAUAUGAAUUGCAAAUUUAUUUUGUACUGUAUUGUGUUGAAAUUUCUCUUCCCUUAUCUAUGGAAUUGAUGUAUUGUGAAACUUUUUGAUAAAACGUAAGCAUAUAGCAUAAAAAUAAAAAAUAAAUAAAAGGGAUUUCCUUCUCAAUAAGCUUUAUAGGAGGGUUUUGUUUAGUGCUAUUUUUGGGGGGUACUCAAGGAUGCACAAUAUGUACUGUCGCCUCUUUUCCCCCAAAUGUUAAAAGUGUGGCAUUGUAGCAACUUUAUGAGGAAAGUGUGCCUUCCCCACUCUCACCUGGGCUCAUCCUUCUCUUCCCACAGCCUCCCACCCCGGGAGAUCUUCCAUGACCUGCCUCUCACACAGGGUCUAAACUGUCCUUCCCCUUCAUCUGAGAGAAAAGUAAGGAGAGAAAAAAGAGAAAGAAAUAGAUAAAAGGACACCAUCUGUCAGUUGUGUAUACAAUAUUUCUUAAAAAUAGUCAAAUGCUCAAUCUAGGUUAUUCAGUUAGAAAUCCCUUUACUGGUCAUUGUUUUCCCAGCUGUCCAGUGCUCUUCAGUUCGUUUACUUUUUUCAAUGCAGAAAGUUGUGCUGUUUAGCUUAUUUUUGUUGUUGUUUUGUUAAGAGUGUUCUAGAGAAGAUGGUUGUUUUACUGAUGAUUUGUCAAUAUGAUUUGUGUUGUAAUUAUGUCGUUCUGUUAUUGUCAUGUGAGCUGCGUGAGUGAAAAGUGGCAAAGGAAUAUAAUAAAUAAAAUCAGGGUGAUGUACAAUAAAA